CAGCUCAACUGUGGAACUGCCUUUGAUACUGUCAGUCUAGAGUAUAGUUGAAGUUGGCGGAAUGUGUCAUGUAGCGGUGAAAUGCUUAGAUAUGACACAGAACACCGAUCGCGAAGGCAGCUGACUAAGCUAUAACUGACGCUCAUGCACGAAAGCGUGGGGAUCAAACAGGAUUAGAUACCCUGGUAGUCCACGCUGUAAACGAUGAUUACUCGAUGUUGGCGAUAUACUGUCAGCGUCUGAGCGAAAGCAAUAAGUAAUCCACCUGGGGAGUACGAUCGCAAGAUUGAAACUCAAAGGAAUUGACGGGGGCCCGCACAAGCGGAGGAGCAUGUGGUUUAAUUCGAUGAUACGCGAGGAACCUUACCUGGGCUCGAACGUGAGAUGACUAUGGGUGAAAGCUCAUAUCCCUUCGGGGCAUCUUACGAGGUGCUGCAUGGUUGUCGUCAGCUCGUGCCGUGAGGUGUCGGGUUAAGUCCCAUAACGAGCGCAACCCCUACCUUUAGUUGCCAACAGGUCAUGCUGGGGACUCUAAAGGAACUGCCUACGCAAGUAGUGAGGAAGGCGGGGAUGACGUCAAAUCAGCACGGCCCUUACGUCCAGGGCUACACACGUGCUACAAUGGCCGAUACAGAGGGCAGCUACCUGGUGACAGGAUGCAAAUCUCGAAAGUCGGUCUCAGUUCGGAUCGGAGUCUGCAACCCGACUCCGUGAAGUUGGAUUCGCUAGUAAUCGCGCAUCAGCCAUGGCGCGGUGAAUACGUU
rnacentral:rRNA from 1 species